rnacentral:rRNA from 1 species
GACGAACGCUGGCGGCGUGCUUAACACAUGCAAGUCGAACGAUGAACUUGGAGCUUGCUCUGGGGGAUUAGUGGCGAACGGGUGAGUAACACGUGAGUAACCUGCCCUGGACUCUGGGAUAACUUCGAGAAAUCGGAGCUAAUACCGGAUAGGACCUUGCACCGCAUGGAGUGGGGUGGAAAGUUUUUCGGUUUGGGAUGGACUCGCGGCCUAUCAGCUUGUCGGUGAGGUAAUGGCUCACCAAGGCGUCGACGGGUAGCCGGCCUGAGAGGGUAACCGGCCACACUGGGACUGAGACACGGCCCAGACUCCUACGGGAGGCAGCAGUGGGGAAUAUUGCACAAUGGGCGGAAGCCUGAUGCAGCAACGCCGCGUGAGGGAUGACGGCCUUCGGGUUGUAAACCUCUUUUAGCAAGGAAGAAGCGAAAGUGACGGUACUUGCAGAAAAAGCGCCGGCUAACUACGUGCCAGCAGCCGCCGUAAAAC